UCGAAGAUACUGCACUUCAAGACUUCACUGUUAAGCUUUACGGGUGCCUAACAAACCGUUACAACUUGAGAACUUGAAUCACACAAGUAUCAAACAACCUUGCUCGAGGAUACCUCACCUCAAGACUUCUCUGUUAAGCUUACGGGUGCCUAACAAACUGUUACAACCUGAGCACUUGAAUCACACAAAUCUCAAACAACUUUGCUCGAGG
rnacentral:lncRNA from 1 species